AUCUAAAUAGCUUAUUAUUAGAGCGUAAUAUUGAAGAUAUUAAAGAAAUUAUUUUAAUUUUUAGAUA
rnacentral:tRNA from 1 species